rnacentral:rRNA from 2 species
UACGUAGGGCGCAAGCGUUGUCCGGAAUUAUUGGGCGUAAAGAGCUCGUAGGCGGUCUGUCGCGUCUGGUGUGAAAUCCCAUGGCUCAACUGUGGGCUUGCAUCGGGUACGGGCAGACUAGAGUACUGUAGGGGAGACUGGAAUUCCUGGUGUAGCGGUGGAAUGCGCAGAUAUCAGGAGGAACACCGAUGGCGAAGGCAGGUCUCUGGGCAGUUACUGACGCUGAGGAGCGAAAGCAUGGGGAGCGAACAGG